UUUUUUUUUUUUUUUUUAAGAGUGCUUAAUGUUAGGGUGGGGUGAGGAAGUGAGGGCAAAGGGGAUUAUUUUAUUUUUUCACAUGAACUUAAGCCUAGACUUUUGGAGAUUUGAACAUCUUGGUGAUAAUGGUGGUGAUGGGGUAAAAGUGGGGGGUUUUCCUUUCUUAUUUAUUUAUUUAUUUAUUUAUUUAUUUAUUUAUUUAUUUAUUUUUGGAUAAACUAAAUCACUUGUCAGCCAACAGGAAAGGAAGAAGGGAGCAGGCCGGGAAGAGGAGAGCUCAUCUAGCCAGUGCCCGUCCUGCCCCCGAGCUAGCCACCCAGUGUCCGGCCUUUUGUCCUUCUUCUAAUGAGUCAGCAGACUCUCCUCCCGUCUGUGGGGUCAGGGGGGCCUGGACUGGAGACAGGGUAGGGGUCAAUCUUUUCCCGGCCCUGGGCUGUGCCCACGUUUCACCAGGUGACAAGGAGAGGACACUGCGUCAAUCGCCAGCUCUCUAUGUAACUGGAAUCCCCGGCUUCUUCCCCUCUGGUUGGCCUUGCUUCUGUAUCACGGGCGAAUAAGGGCUGUCAGUGGAAGGGAGGUGAUGGGGUUUCACGUGCAUCUGGCCCGUUGGGUGAAACCUGCCUGGCGCCAGCACCGACGGACCCAGGGAGAACCAGGGUGCAGUUUCUGCAGCAGGUCAGAGAAACGUGAACCAGAACACCCACCUUACAUAGCCUGCCCUGGGCGUGGAAGCCAGAGGGAGGUCCUGGUAUAGGCAGGUGAGCUUAGGGUUCAUUCUUAUGUUAAGGAUUCUUUCAAAUUUUCACAAACUCUAUUUUGGAGGUUUGGUUUCCUUUGUGUUUCUAUUGAUAGAAUUCCACUCCAGACCUCCAUUUAAAAUCCAUCCUCCCUGCUAUGCCCUCACUCUCUUUCCUCACUCCCACUUCUCCCAGAAAGCCCUAUAGACACAGAGUAAAUACUAAUAUUAAUAAUAAUACUACUCCUUAUAACUGACAGAUCGCUUAUAAACAGUGAGCCGUGAAGAUGGGAAGUUAUCAUUAAUUGCUAAUUAAGAAAAUGCUUCUCUUGGGUUUGUGUUCAUCUGAUAAAGAACAUUUCUUGACUCUUUCUUGUUUGUUCUCCCUUUGUUUUCCUUCGGGGCAGGGACUGUGUAUUAAUUUUCUGUGUAUCCUCCUCCGCUGUGAAUGAAUGAAUGAGUGAAUGAGUGAACGAAUCUAUUCUUCUUCUUUCUUUCUCUUUCUUUCUUUCUUUCUUUCUUUCUUUCUUUCUUUCUUUCUUCUUUCUUUCUUUCUUUUCUUUCUUUCUUUCUUUCUUUCUUUCUUUCUUUCUUUCUUUUUUAUUUUUUAUUCCAUAGCUUGCUUCACCGGGUGCAUGACCUUCCUCCUUUAAUGUAGAGAUUAGAAUGACAUCCCUAUCAAGACUUUCUGGAAACCAUGAUGAAAAUGACUCAGUGCUGCACCUGUCUUAUGGCUUCCUGUCUCGAAUACACUCAUUCUGUCUAUAUGGACUUGUGACAGCCUAUCCGUGUGUUUGCAUAGACGACAUUAUAACAACACAAACUACCCACUCCCACCCUUUCCGACGCCAUAUUGAAUCAACUCUUGUCUUACUUUUCCAUUUCCUACUUCUCUCCGAUUCUUGUCCUCAUACACAGUCUUACAGAGAUGUAAGCCCAGCAAAGAGAAUUCUGUAUUGCAGUUUACUAGGAUACCAGCAGAUGUCUUCUGCAGAGGGUCGGGUUGGCUGGGGCAGGGUAGUGGUGAGUUAGGCAGUGCUAUACUUGGCAUACAAUGGCCACUAAAUAUGUCAGUUGAAUGAAAUCAAAGGAACAAAAGCACUGCUCACCUUCUGGACAGGAGCUGACUAGUCUUACGUGGAAUCUAAGGCUGCAGGCAGAGCAAGCUUGGUAAAUGCCUCCUUCAGUUUUCUACUCUUAAUAAACGAACUCACAAAAUUUCUAAAUUCCUUACCACGGACUCUAAGGGAGAGGCAAGAAGGAGGAGCAGUCAGCGAGAGGGGGUGAGCAAAUACCACCAUUCUGCAGGGUUCCCGCAGGUCAACUGCAAUAUGAUUCCGUACUUAUUUGCAGAUGAAGAAACUGAAGUCCAAAGGAAAAAAAUGCCCAUAAUAACCCAAAGCUAGACAAAAACACGGAUAUCUUGAUUCCAUACUUUCUAGCCCCGGGCUCUUUGACUUAGACCCGACAGGCCUGGCACUGGGGCCCUGACCAGGGAGCUAACCCUCGCGGUUCCUCUGGAGGGAUUCUCAGCUCGUCCUUGUCUAGAGCACACCCUUGGAGGAUCUCUUGAGAUCCUGUAGAUCGUGUCCAGGACCAAAGGCCUUCACUACAGUGGGAGAUGAGAAGGGAAAGUCUCGUUCUGGGCCGGGAGACCUGCUUCGUUAGUUGUUGCUCAUACUAAAGAAGGCUUUUCAAAAUUUUGCUUUGGGGAAGUCAGCAAUGCAGUGCACGCUCCUGGUGGAGGGCACAGGCAGCUGCAGUGCCUUCCCCCUGUACCCCGUGCAGGGCUCCGCUUCUUCCUUUGUGCACAGGGGGGCGCUAGCAAUACACCAGCGGCAGCCCCUGCACCUCACGCUCUGCAGCUGCUGGGGAAGGGACUUAAUUACACCCACUUCCCAGUGAGCACAGCUCGCUCUAGAGCGAGCCAGUUCUGCAUUGCAGACCUGCGGGCUAUGCUAGCUCACAUGUCACCUCCUUCAGGAAACCUGCCGUCUCCGCUUAGCCCCACUCCUCCGGGGUCACCCCUAAUCCUCCUGUCUUCCCCAGCCUCUUGGUCAGUUGGCCUUUUACCUUUACAUCAAACAUGCUGCUUUUAAAAGUAUCCCUAGAUAUUUCUCUUUGUCUUCCUUUCUCCUAAGCUCCCUUUGUGCAAAGGCCAUAUUUUCUCCCGUUGGCCCCAAGAGAGAGCCGUGUCCAUGGCGGGGCAGUAAGUAAUGGGGUACAAGGGAAGCACAAUCCUGACACCCUCCAUUGCCAUGUAACCUCAGGCAAGUCCUCUUCCCUCUCUGAGCCUAGUUUCUCUGUCUGUAGAAUUAAGAAUAAUCCUAGUAUCUCGGGGCUGUUUCAGAAUUACUGAAUGAAAAGUAUGCAUGAGCGCCUUGCAGGGGACCUGGACUCAGAAGGUGCUUCAUAACUGUUCCGUGGAUCCAGGUAAUGCCGGAACGAUGUCCCCACUCGUCACUGAAGAAAGUGUGCAGUUUCUGUGCCAUUUCUUUAUAGCCAGCCCUAUGCCGGGCACCAGAUAAGAUCCCUAAAGAAGACACAGUUCCUGCUCUCAAGAAGCCCAGUGGGGGCAAUUGGAACAGGGGUAAUUACAUGUAAAAUCAUCUUGCUAGGGUCAGGAUGUGUCUGAAUCCCACAUGGAAGACCAUGCAGGGGUGGGGAAGAGGAUUUUAGCUUCUCCUUCUCUCCAGAACUAAGGCACCUGAAAUGCAAGUAAGGAAUGUGUGAACAUCACUCUUCUGUUGUGUUCAUGGCCCCUAGGAUGCUGCUGACAAUUGAGUAAGACAAAGAAAGCCAGGGUGGACUUCUUGCCCUCCCUCUGACCCUAAACAGAGUCCCCCCAAAGCAUGCUCUUGCUUUUGUUCUGGGAGACAGUCUUCCCACCCACAGGACUGUUGAAAAAAUUUUCAGUGAGAUACACUCCUAAUAUGCAAAGCACGUGAUUGGAAAGAAAUGCUUGGUAGUUUGCUUUCCCUUCCCUGAGGGGUGCCAAAGUUCACAGCUCUUGCCUGGUCUUAGAUUCCCCCUUCUUUGGUGCCCGGAGUCUCCUGUCCUUCCACGUUCUUCUAAGCACCUCCCAUGCACUCGAUCAAAAGUUUUUACGCCAAGACUGAGAACUGGAGCACAGAUAAGGCAAUGGGAUUAGUUCAUGGAAGAUACACAGAGAUCAGUGAAUGACCAGUCUGUUUGCUCUUUGACGGUUUAUUUGUAUUUAAGACAAAGGAGCUCUGUUAACCUUAUGACUCUCUAAGGGGUAGCCCGUAUUCAGGGAUCAUAUUGAGUUGGGAGUUCCUAUCACUUUGGAUCAAAGUCCUAGACUGCCCGACUCUCCACUAUUGUUCCGGUGCCAGAAGAAAGUGGGCCAAUUAUUUGGAUCCUCGUGUCUAAAAGUAGCUUGUCCCAUCUUUAUGUUGAAUUGCAGGGAUCUUUAAUCCGUUUGUGGAAAAAUGCUUCUUUUCUCUGACCUCUUCUGUCUUCAGAGAAUGCUCCUGUUGUGCUUAAUUUUGAAGAGAAAACAGCAUUCUGUUAGAUUCUAACUUGACGUGUGUGACCUCUAAUGAUUUCUUUUGACUGGAAUGAACUUUUUGGUUUAUUGAACUUUGUGCAAACCCACCCUUCUUUUUAUGUGACCUCUUGUAGACUGGGCUCUUUCCCACUCCGCCUCCCCAAAUUUAGGAAAUAUACUCUUCCUGCAGAAAAUGUCUCCAUUUAUUUUGAGGGACUUUCAUUGACCUUUGGCUGACCUUGGUGAACUGGAAAUGAAUCUAUUGAUCUCUGUCUGAACUCGUGGGUCAGGGGCCACGAGCUCCUUCUGCUUCUGGAAUUACUGAAAAAGGAGAACAUGACAUAACAAGUUUGCAGUUUUAUUCCAUUAGCCAUUCACAGCUACUGUGAGCUGUUUUGAUUCCAAAGUGAAAACCAUUGCCUAAAAUUCAGUUGAGCCGUGGGGAAUCGAGAGUGUCAGCCUCCGUCAUCUUCCUUGUACUAGUCUUCUCCCUGGAAUUGUCCAUGCAAUAGAAUCAUCUCAAACUAGCAGCUCCCUGAUGUGUACUUCUUACUAUGAUUUGGCUCAACUUCUCUUCAGCUUCCUCCAAAUAAAUCAGCUCUCCUGGUCUUGGCUUACUGGCUUUCUGUGAGUCUUGCUUACUUCCUCUGAAAUUGUAACUUUAGAAUGCUGGUAAAAGAUGGACUUUUCCUCUUUAUAGUUAUCUGUGGUAGGUUGCGGUAGGUUCCCUAAAAUAUACUCACUUUCCAACCCCUGAAAUAUCUGAAUUUACCCCCAUAUAGAAUAAAAAGGGGGGCAGGUGUGGUGUCUUCAUAGAUGGGAUUAAAUAGUUAAGGAUGUAGAGAAGGGGGAUUAUCCUGAGUUAUCCAGCGGGUCCUAGAUGCCAUCACAUGUACCCGUGUAAAAGAGAUGCAGAGAAGGUAAUGUGAAGACAGCAGAGGGAAAUGUGAAGAUGCUGGCCUUGAAGGUUGGAGCUAUAGAGCCCUACGUCAAGGAAUACUGACAUCCCCAAGCCAGAAGAGGCAAGGAAUGGAUUCUCCCCUGGAGUCACUGGAAGGAACAUGGACCUGUCAACACCUUGAUUUCAGGUCAGGGAUACUGAUCCCUGGCUUCUGGCCUUCAGAAUUGUAAGAGAAUAAAUAUGUGUUGUUCAAAAUGGCCACGUUUGUGAUAAUUUGUUGUGGUAAUCAUUGGCGAUACGUGUACCAUCUAUUACUUUCUUUUGAACAAUCCUGCAUGUUUCCCAUUUUAAUUGCCUUUUCAGCUUUGCCACAUUCUCAAAUGGCGCAUUUACACCACCGCCAGUCCCAUAAUUGUGGUCCUCUGAGCCUAUGAUGUUAUCCUAGGUAUUUUUUUUUAAUGAAGUAAGAGAUUUCUAAUCCAUAUUAUACUGAGCUAUAGGAAGCCACCUUCCACUUCAAACACAUAGAAACAUUACACAAAAUAUGUAUUCUUAAAGAUAUAAAAAUAGGUAGCCAAGCAUGGAAAUCAAAAAGGGACUAACUCUAUUUUCCGGAAGAAAGAUGGAGCACACGGUAGGAAGAAACUGCUGAGAUAAUAGGAUCUGUGAAGGAAAAUGGGCAUGACACAUACCACUAGGGUCUUAACAUCUGCAUAGGAUGGAUGUCAGCUUCCAGUCCUGUGUGUGCAGGGCUGCUGAAAACACGCUCCCUGGAUAAAGCUAGGAGGCUGGAAAAUGUGCCUGCUUAGAAAAACCUCACUUCCCACCUAAAGCAAGCAGGGAAGCCAUACCUCCAUGUGAACCACAGGGGGAAAAUGAUCCAACUGCAAGGAAUCGGAGACCCGAGUCUGAACUCUACCUGAAUGCCCUACCCCAAUUUUUAUAUGAAAUAAAAUUGGUCCCUGCAAAGUUAGUGACAAUUUGACAGAAACAACUAGGAAACCACCUAUUACGGAUGCUUCCAUAGUCCACAGAAUAAACAGAACCCCCACAGGAGGAAAUGUCUGAAAUAAUAAGCUCAUAAUUUAAAAUAUUAAAAUACAUAUGGAAAUCCAAUAUCACAAUAUUUAAAGUAAAAAAAAAA
rnacentral:lncRNA from 1 species